GUGCCAGCCGCCGCGGUAAUACCGGCAGCCCGAGUGAUGGCCGAUCUUAUUGGGCCUAAAGCGUCCGUAGCUGGCCGCACAAGUCCGUCGGGAAAUCCGCCCGCUCAACGGGCGGCCGUCCGGCGGAAACUGCACGGCUUGGGACCGGAAGGCUCGAGAGGUACGUCCGGGGUAGGAGUGAAAUCCCGUAAUCCCGAACGGACCACCGAUGGCGAAAGCAUCUCGAGAAAACGGAUCCGACAGUGAGGGACGAAAGCUAGGGUCUCGAACCGGAUUAGAUACCCGGGUAGUCC
rnacentral:rRNA from 1 species